GACGAACCGUGCGAACGUUAUUCGGAAUCACUGGGCUUAAAGGGCGCGUAGGCGGGCGAUCAAGUCCGGGGUGAAAGCCCCCAGCUCAACUGGGGAAGUGCCUCGGAUACUGACCGCCUCGAGGGAGAUAGGGGCGUGCGGAACUUCCGGUGGAGCGGUGAAAUGCGCAGAUAUCAGGAGGAACACCAAUGGUGAAGGCAGCUCGCUGGAACGGUACUGACACUGAGGCGCGAAAGCGUGGGGAGCAAACAGG
rnacentral:rRNA from 1 species